rnacentral:tRNA from 1 species
GGUUCAAUAGUGUAGUGGCUAUCACGCUCGCCUCACACGCGAGAGAUCCUGGGUUCGAACCCCAGUUGAACCA